rnacentral:rRNA from 1 species
UACAUGCAGUAGAACGCUGAAGAGAGGAGCUUGCUCUUCUUGGAUGAGUUGCGAACGGGUGAGUAACGCGUAGGUAACCUGCCUUGUAGCGGGGGAUAACUAUUGGAAACGAUAGCUAAUACCGCAUAACAAUGGAUGACACAUGUCAUUUAUUUGAAAGGGGCAAUUGCUCCACUACAAGAUGGACCUGCGUUGUAUUAGCUAGUAGGUGAGGUAACGGCUCACCUAGGCGACGAUACAUAGCCGACCUGAGAGGGUGAUCGGCCACACUGGGACUGAGACACGGCCCAGACUCCUACGGGAGGCAGCAGUAGGGAAUCUUCGGCAAUGGGGGCAACCCUGACCGAGCAACGCCGCGUGAGUGAAGAAGGUUUUCGGAUCGUAAAGCUCUGUUGUAAGUCAAGAACGAGUGUGAGAGUGGAAAGUUCACACUGUGACGGUAGCUUACCAGAAAGGGACGGCUAACUACGUGCCAGCAGCCGCGGUAAUACGUAGGUCCCGAGCGUUGUCCGGAUUUAUUGGGCGUAAAGCGAGCGCAGGCGGUUUGAUAAGUCUGAAGUUAAAGGCUGUGGCUCAACCAUAGUUCGCUUUGGAAACUGUCAAACU